rnacentral:misc_RNA from 1 species
UUUCCGUAGGUGAACCUGCGGAAGGAUCAUUAUCGAAUUUCGAGGGGAAGGAAGAUGAGGAGUGGAGACUGUCGCUGGCUUUCCCGCCUGGGAAGCAUGUGCACGCCUUGCUUUUCGAUGACCUUUCUCUUACUCUCACACCUGUGCACCCAUUGUAGGUCCUCGAAAGAGGAUCUAUGUUUUUAUCAUCACACGCAUCGUAUGUCCAUAGAAUGUAACAUGAUCGUCGAUCGACCUCGCGGUCGGGUGGCGGUCUAAAUAAAUAAAUACAACUUUCAGCAACGGAUCUCUUGGCUCUC